rnacentral:rRNA from 1 species
AUACGGAGGAUCCGAGCGUUAUCCGGAUUUAUUGGGUUUAAAGGGUGCGCAGGCGGCCAUUUAAGUCAGCGGUUAAAUCGUGGGGCUCAACCCCAUUCUGCCGUUGAUACUGGGUGGCUUGAUUGCGGUCGAGGUUGGCGGAAUUCGUUGUGUAGCGGUGAAAUGCAUAGAUAUGACGAAGAACACCGAUUGCGUAGGCAGCUGACCAGACCGCAAAUGACGCUCAUGCACGAAAGUGCGGGGAUCGAACAGGAUUAGAUACCCUGGUAGUCCGCACAGUAAACGAUGAAUACUUGUUUUCGGCGAUAUAAUGUCGGAGGCAAAGCGAAAGCGAUAAGUAUUCCACCUGGGGAGUACGGCCGCAAGGUUGAAACUCAAAUGAAUUGGCGGGG